UUAAAUAUGUGUGACAUCAAAAUUAUUUAUCUCUGACAUUAGAACAAUACAGGUAGAGCAGUAGAACAAUCAAUGCGCACCAAUUCUUAAUGAAAUUAGAAACUUACUCAUCGGUCAGUAAAUUACUCCAGAUGAUAGUGUAUUGUGUAAAUUUCAUUUGAAAACCUAUAGUCAGUGUAUUCUUAAUGCAAAUGUGUUUUUGAGUUUUUAGUUGGCAAAUUAACUUUCCAGUAGGAAUAUUAUAGAUCAAAUAUAAGUGAACUUAAAAAAAAAUUGUCUUCGUCACCAUUAUAGUAACCUACUUCAUGCUGUUUCUUUCUAUUCAUGCCUUGGGUAAUAACUUUAUCAAGGUAUUUCAUGUCAAGAUCUGGCAAAACCUGCAAGAAAAGCACCACGUAUUAUAAACUCAUACCUAAGAAUCGAAGCAAAAUAAACAUGUACGGAUUGAAUAGUAAACAUGUAAGUAGAACUCCUUGGUUUGCAUAACAAUAGCUUAACAUUUUUCCCGUAAUCAGAUCAUUCAAAGAUUCUGGGAACAAGUUAAUUCUAGGUAUAGGCACUUCAUAUUUAUAUCUCACACAUUAAUAUUACUAUUAGCGUAUACAUUAGUGCUUUUUGUUUUUCAAGGAGGUACACAUGGAUAUACUUUAAUGUUAAAAUUAAUUCAUCCUACAUAUCCGAUUUUAAUUAGUCUUACCAAUUCUAAAUUUAUGUAUUUUAUUAUAGCUGAUGUUACAGAUUUAGCUGAAGGAUCAAAUUCUGAAAUUGUUAUAAGAAAACGAACUGAGCUUAACAAGCGACGCCGGGAGCAAUACAAUAAAGCUACAGAAGAGGAACGGAGCCAAAGAAACAAACUAAGAUGUGACCGAAGAGCAAAACAAAAGAUUAAUGCGAUAGAAUGUCAACAAGUAAACAAUGGUAAUUUCUAGAGGUUACAAUAUUUAUAAUACCAUGUCGUGCAAAUUUUUUUUAUUAACCCUUAUAAGUUGUUAUUUUGUGUAUAUAGAUAUACCAGUUACUGAUGAAAGCACAAAGUAUAUACAAAUGAUAAAGAGGAAUACAUCUACAACAAAAGGUAUUCUCUAUAUCUCCCUUACGCUUAUUAUAUAUAAGUAUAUAAUACAUGUAUAUAUAUAUAUAAAUUUAUUUAUUACUGAUUUGAUUUUUAUUUUUAUUUUUAAAGCAUUUGCUGAAGUUAGCAAACGAAUGAGGACAAAAAUACAGUCGAACAAGGAAAAGUUUGGUAAGCCUAAAUUUUCAUAGGCUCCACAAAAAUUAACAGCAAAUAACUAUUUAACUUAUCAUGUUAUAGCUAAACUAUACAAACCUAUUUUGCUACAGCAAAAGCAACAUCGAUCCUAAAUAUUGGAAGUGCCGACAAAGAAUGUGCAUACUGUGGUGCACUAAUGUGGGGGCAGGAAAGAACGAGAGAAGAAGGUGUUUCAAACACUUCAAGCUUCUCACUAUGUUGUAGCCAUGGUAAAGUUAAACUACCUAACUUACAAGAAACUCCCCCGGAAUUGAAGAGACUGUUGGAUGGAACAGAUGAAUUAAGUAAAGCAUUUAGAAAAAAUUACAGGAUGUACAACACUGCAUUUUCCUUCACAUCCACUGGUGGAGAAAUAGAUAAAAGAUAUAAUAACGGUGGUGGCCCUUUUUUUUAUCGUAUAUUUGGUGAAAUAUAUCAUCAGAUCGGCUCUUUGUACCCGGAUGAUGGUGAGAAGCCAGUUUAUUCACAAAUCUACAUGUAUGACAAUCAACAAGAAGUCGAAAAACGGGUAUCCUUUCCGCACAAUGAUGAACUUCUGGAUACAAGAAUUAUCAAAACUAUUACUGAAAUGUUGGAUCGUGAGAAUGAAUUAGCUAAAUUUUUUCACAGCAUACGUGACAGAUUCAGUUCAACAGAUUGUAUCCCAUCUAAGUUACGGUUAGUUGGCAACCGCGAAACAGAUGGCCGGGAAAGCUCUAAACCUACAAAUAUACACGAUUUUGCAGCACUGAUUGUUGAUGACAACUUGGCAGAUAACAGAGACGUAAUAGUACAUUACAAAGGGGGUGGUCUUCAUAGAAUUUCAGAGCUAAGUCCAAGCUAUAUGGCCCUACAAUAUCCACUAAUAUUUCCCUUUGGAGAAGAUGCCUUCAGAACAGAUAUUUUGCAUCGUGGUGUAUCCACACACACGGCAACUAAAAAGGAUAAAGUCUCAAUUAGAGAGUUCUAUGCUUAUCGUAUCCAACAACGAAGUAAUGAAGGUCACACAUUAAUUCGUGGUGGAAGAUUAUUCUUGCAGUUCGUGGUUGAUGCUUAUGCAUGUAUUGAACAUAGUAGGCUAAUGUGGGUCAAAUUACACCAAGAAACUUUGAGAGCUGACGUCUAUAAUAAUAUCGUCGAUUCUGUUAAUAGAGGUGAUGCAGAUGCUAUAACUGUUGGAAAACGUAUUGUUUUACCUGCGACUUUCACAGGAAGCCCGCGAUAUAUGCAACAAAAUUAUCAAGACUGCAUGGCGGUUUGUAGAAAAUUAGGCAGCCCUGACUUAUUCAUCACUUUCACAUGCAAUCCUGCCUGGCCUGAAAUAAAAGAGCAUUGUAAUAAGAUUGUCAAUCAAACACCUGAUGUUCGACCAGAUAUUAUAUCUCGAGUUUUCAAAAUAAAGCUUGACAUGCUUUUGGAGGACUUGACACAAAAUCACGUGCUCGGAAAAGUCAUCGGAGGUACAAUAGUUCUAAAAUAAACACACACAUACACACUCUCACACACACACACAUAUGAUACUCAUACUACCAUUUUUAGUUCAUUUUUCAUGAGAAAUCCCUACAUGUAUUCUAAUCAAAUGUCUUUAGUUAAAAAUAUAUAUCAAAUUGUUCUGCAUAUCAUUCAUUUUACAUCAAAAAAUUUGCAUAGUUGCUACAUGCUCUUAAACCCCUCUUAUUCAAGUAAAUUUGUCAUUGUAAACACUGUAUGUCGCUAAACCGCUGAUGAUGUUUUAAUAUAUAAUAUGUAAACUAAUAUAUCACACUUAUUCAAGUAACAUUUAUCAUUGUAAAAACUAUAUUUAGCUAAACCGCUGAUAAAGUUUUAAUAUAUAAUAUGUAAACUAAUAUAUCACACUAUUCAACAUUACCUUUCUAUUUCUUCCAGUUGCUUACACAAUUGAAUUUCAAAAGAGAGGUUUGCCACACGUGCACAUAGUUGUUUGGCUUGCUGAAUCCGAUCGUUGCCAUUCUACAGAGGAUAUAGAUUUUUUAAUUUCAGCUGAACUACCUGAUAAAGAUAUUGACCCUUUGGGAUAUGAAGCUGUAAGUACUUUAAUGAUUCAUGGCCCCUGUGGAGUUGUUAACCCAGAAUCUCCAUGCAUGAAAGGAGAAGAAGGCUAUAAGAAAUGUAAAAAUUAUUAUCCCAAAGAUUUCACAACUGAAACCACAAUUGAUUCAAAAGGUUAUCCAGUUUACAAGCGUCGAAAUGAUGGAAGGACAGCGACAUGUAGGGGUGUGAAUAUUGACAAUAGGUAACAAACUUAUGUUACACUGUACUUAACAUUAUUAAAAUAUUAUUCUACAGAUUUAUAGUUUCAACUAUGAUCCUGUUAUGUUGUCUCAGGUAUGUUGUGCCGUACAAUCGAGGUCUAUUAGUCAAGUAUCAAGCACAUAUCAAUGUCGAAUGGUGCCAUCAAGGCGACCUUAUAAAAUAUAUGUUCAAGUAUGUGCUAAAAGGUCCAGAUCGGGCAACAAUGGUGAUUGAAAAGGAUAGACAACCAAAUAAAGAAAAUUCGGGACCAGUUGACAAUGACGAGGUCAAAAAUUAUCUGACGUGUCGAUAUUUGUCGUCAUGUGAAGCAUGUUGGCGUAUUUUCGAGUUUCCUAUACAUUAUCGUAAACCUGUGGUUCAAAAAUUAACAUUCCAUCUCGAAAAAGAACAGAUUAUUUGUUUCAAUGAGAAAGAGUCACUACCGUCUGUUCUAAGAAAAAAUCACGUGGACAGCACUAUGUUCGUGCAGUGGUUCCAGGCUAACACUCAGUAUCCAGAGGGUAAAAGUCUCACCUACGUUGAAUUUCCAGAAAAAUUUCGUUGGGACAAUAGUGCGAAAAUGUGGAUUCCUAGACAAAGAAAUAUACCUGUCAUUGGUCGUUUGAUUUAUGUGCAACCUGCUACUGGUGAACUAUUCUAUAUGAGACUCUUAUUGAAUAUUGUCUGUGGAGCAACUUCUUUUGAAGAUCUAAGGACAGUUAAUGGAGUACUUUACAAAACUUACAAGGAAGCAUGCCUUCAUCAUAAUAUCUUAGGAGACGAUGAUGAAUGGCAUACAGCAAUAAAGGAAGCAUCUUCUCACCAAACUGGCAGGCAGUUAAGGCAUUUGUUCGUCACAAUACUACUAUUUUGUGACGUUGCUGAUUUGCGUUCACUGUGGGAAAAGAAUUGGCAAGUAAUGAGUGAAGAUAUCGAGUAUAAUCAUCAAAGAAUUUCUGGUGACAGAAACUUUACUCUCAGUUCAGACCGCCUACAAGCUCUAACACUCUAUAAGAUUGACCUAGAACUUCAUAAAUUCGGAAAGUCUUUAACAGAUUUUCCAACACUCCCUCCGUUAACAGGUUCACUGCAACAUCAAAGUCAGAAUACAUUGCUUUAUGAAGAGUAUAUGUAUGACAGGCAUAAACUAAAAAAGGAGAGCCAUACAUUAGUUUCAAUGUUAAACCCGAAACAAAUGCAGAUUUUUGAAGAGAUAACUAAUAAUGUGUUGGAAAAAGAGGGAGGCCUAUAUUUUGUGUAUGGUCAUGGAGGUACAGGCAAGACGUUUUUGUGGAAGACAAUUAUUAGUUCUCUACGCUCCAAGGAAAAAAUUGUCUUGGCCGUCGCAUCAUCGGGUAUUGCAUCCCUCCUUAUAGAAGGUGGAAGAACUGCUCAUUCAAGAUUUAAAAUUCCAUUAAACAUUUACGAAAAUAGCACAUGUGGGAUAAAGCAACAUUCUUACUUGGCAGAGUUGAUAUCUCAGACGGAUUUAGUUGUGUGGGAUGAGGCACCUAUGAACCAUAAACAUAUAUUCGAGGCAGUUGAUCGUUCAUUCCGUGACAUAAUGCGACUUAAAGACCCCAGUAAUCUAGAAAAACCAUUUGGUGGAAAGACAGUUCUUCUUGGGGGAGAUUUCAGGCAAAUCUUACCUGUUUUACCCAAGAAAGGACGAGCAGAUAUUGUCAUGUCAUCCAUCAGUAAAUCUUACCUAUGGAAACAAUGUAAAGUUUUUAAACUGGAUCAAAAUAUGAGAAUAGAAGCAAAUGUACCACCAGUAACAGUUGGAGGGAUCUCAAUUCCAUACAUGGAAUGGAUAAUUAAGGUUGGUGAUGGUACGGCAGAAUCAGUAUCGAUGGAUGAUUCGGGAGAGGCAAAUUUAAUCGAAAUACCAAAAGAAUUACUACUGGAUCCUGGGGAUGAUGGUAAGAAAACAAUUAUUGAUAAAAUAUACUCAGAACUAGAAGCAAGACAUAUGGAGCCAAAUUAUUUUAGAGAUCGUGCUAUUCUGACACCUAUUAAUGAAGAUGUCGAUUCUAUAAAUACAGAAGUAUUAAGGCGAUCAACAGGUACAAGUUGUGUCUAACCUGUUCCACUUAUUAUUUAUAUAAUACACACUUAGUUACAUUUCACAAUUUUAUUUAUUUUUGUACUACAAUCUUACGAUUUCAAUUACUACAGGUAAAUGUGAGCUCUAUCGAAGCUUCGAUUCUAUAUGCAAGAGCUCAGUGAAUUAUGAAUCUCAGGAAAGUAUGAAUCCUAUAGAGUUUCUGAACUCUCUGACCUUUUCUGGCAUUCCUAAACAUGAGCUAAGACUCAAAGUUGGUUGUCCAAUUGUACUCCUUCGGAAUAUAUGUCCUUCAAGAGGUCUUUGCAACGGCACGAGGUUAAUUGUUACCCAACUGUGUAAAAAAGUUAUUGAAGGUGUUAUAAUUACAGGCAGUCAUAUUGGAGAGAAGACUUUCAUCCCCAGAAUAUGCAUGAGGCCCACAGAUUCUACACUACCUUUUGUAUUGAAGAGAAUACAAUUUCCAGUGGCUUUAUGUUAUGCCAUGACAAUAAAUAAAAGCCAAGGCCAAACUUUAAGAUCUGUGGGCCUAUAUCUUCCCCACCCCGUUUUCAGUCAUGGACAAUUUUAUGUGGCUAUAUCAAGAGUUACAUCACCAACAGGAUUACACAUAGUUUGUGAGCCCACUAGCCAUCCAAUUGAAGGGAGAACUAAAAAUGUUGUUUACCAUGAAAUCUUCACAAAUCUGUAAAUCCCGUCUUUAUAAUGAAAAAUGUCAUAUGCCUUACUAUAUUCAUUUAGAUAUGUUAUUUGAUUAAUGAAUAAGAUAUGCCUUUUACCUAACUUUGUAAUACUUUUUAUUGUUCCCAAAAGACCUUUCAGUUCAGACAUCCAUGUUACUGAAUGUUACUGAUGAAUGUUACUAAGAUUGUAAUAAUAUUAAUAAAAUAUUAAACUCAUUUCCGAAUUCAUAUUUACAAAAAGUGUGUUAUUUCUUAGUAUAAUAUCCAAGACACGUUACCUCAUACUUAUUAAUCGACCAAAUAUAUAUUUUUGUCAUAAGAAAUAAUAUUGAGAAUUAAAAAACCACUUUAACUAAUUAAAAUAUAGUAUAUGUCUGUAUAUUAGUUUAACUAGGUUACACAGUUAAUUUUAAAUUUAACAAAUAUAUUCAUAAAGGCAUUUAAUUUUAUAUUCAAACUCCUUUUAAAUAUAGGAAUAACAAAACCAAUUACAAUUCAAAAAAGAUAACAUAUGUACAGCAUAUACAUAUUAACCAAAUACAACUUAUAGGAUGAUUCAAUAUCCAUACACAAUCCAAAACAGACAAGGUUUGUAACUUUACUUUCCUAGAGGGUAAAGGUUUUAAACUUAUUUCUAAUUUCAUAUUUACAAGAAGUGUGUUAUUUCUUAUUAUAAUAUCCAAAACAAGUUAUAUCAUAAUUAUUAAUCGACCGAAUAUAUAUUUGUCAUAAGAAAUAAUUUUCACAAUUAAACAACUGGUUGAACUAAUUAAAAUAUAGUAGAUGUGUGUAUAUUAGUUUGACUAAGUUACACAGGGAAUUAUAAAUUUCAAAAGUAUAUUCAUGACGCAUUUAAUUUUAUAUUCAAACUCCUUUUAAAUAUAGGAAUAACAAACCAAUUCCAAUUCAAAUUAGAAAACAUAUGUACAACAAAUACAUGUUAACCAAAUACGACUUAUAGGAGGAUUCAAAGUCCAUACACAAUUCAAAAAAGAAAAUGUUUUUAGCUAUAGUUUCCUAGAAGGUAAAGGAUUUCUAAUACAGAUUUAAAGCUAUGCUUAAUCUAAUAUUGUUGACUAUAAAUAUAGAACACCACCAAGGAUUACCUUGGCAAUCAUCACCUACAUACGACGAUAAUACCAGAGAUAGGUAACCAACUUCUGCAACUUUUUCUUUUCAUAUAUGUUAUCUAUAUGUUUAUCAAUAUUCAUCACAGACAUGUAACAACACUAACACUCUCUGCACAAAAAAUUCCUCACAACUACAUAUUAUAUUAUUGUAAUGUACAUGUUUACCUGUACAUAUGCAUAGCCUUCUCCACCUUUGGGAUUCUUAAUCAAAAAGCACAUUAAAACCUGCAUAUAUCAGAAUUAAUAUAUGUUAACAACAGUUAUCACAUGUAUAUGUCGUCCACUCACAAAACAAACUCUCUUUCUGCACAAAAAAUUUCACACAACUCUAUAUUAUUGUAAUGUACAUGUUUACCUGUACAUGUGUAGAGCCUUCUCCACCUUUGGGAAUCUUAUAUCAAAAGCACAUUAAACCUGCAUACAUCACAAUUAAUAUAUACUAAUAUUAUUAUAUAGUACAAUGGUUAUCACAUGUAUAUGUUGUCCCCUCACAAGACCAACUCCAUGACAAUUUUGACUAAUAUAUAUGUAGUAUACUAGCACAUCACACAAACCAUAAACAUGGAAUACUAAUCGCAUGCUUAGACAUGAUACUGUACAAAUUAUCUGAUGUUUGUAUGCAUGUUGUUAAUCAAUGACAGGGAUAUUUUUAAACAACACAAUGUCGAAUGAUAACCAGCUCAUAAGAGGACUCACAAUGGAAAAAGAUGAUAAUAGUAUAAAGGUUCGUUUAAUCAGGAUGUGGGAUGCGAUCAACAGAAACACAAAGCUCAUAAUAAACAGAAAUCUCAUUCUGCUCGAUGAAGAGGUAAACACAAAAAACAAAUUGUUUCCUUCUAAAAUUUAUUUCAAUCUUAACUAUUUACCAAUUAUGCAGAAUGAGGAUAUUCAUGUGACACUUCGAGUCAACCAGUUCGAUCAAUUCACCAACAAACUACAUGUGGGCGACACAUACAUCAUAACUAAUGUAAAGGUUGUGCCAGCAGCAGAUUCUUAUAAACCGAUACCUGGAAAAAAUGCUCUGAAUUUUCAGAGGAAGACAAUAAUCAAAAAAACUUUUGACAACAGCACCAUACCAACAUACAAAUUCCACUGUUUACAGUUCGAUCAAGCCAAAACAAGGGUUGGAAAUAUUAUCAACCUCAUCGGUACACUUCUCUAAAUUGCCUAUUACUAUAUUUAAGUUUAUUUUAAUAAAUAUUAUUAUAAUCCAUUAUAAAUCCCCAGUUCAUUAAUUUACAAGUACAGCACAUUCCAAUCUGAUCAGUACAAUGUAUAUAAUGCAUGAAAGAAAUCCCACCAUUAUAUCUGAUUUAGUAUAGUGUAUCUCACCUUUAUUGUAAAUAUCGAUGCAAUAGAUGUGGCUGGAAAAUUGAUAGAAUACACCGAGCUUCAAACAACUGGCUAUGGCAGCGAGAAGAUGGAGAUCCUCCUUGAAAAUCAGCGGUAUAUACCAAUUUAAACUCACCUCUUUUGACUUGGAUAUAGAAAUAUCCUGCAUAAAAAUAUUUUGUUAAUUUUACAGGUCUGAAACUAUCAAGAUAACUUUGUGGGAAGACAAAGCAAAAACUUUCAUUGCUGAAAUAUCCAACUACAGGAACUCACACACAUAUGUCAUCGUGACAGGAACCCUCGCAAAGAACAUUGGACGUAAGUUGCCAACAAAACUAUGUUUAAUAUUUUUUAUUCUUUCUGGUGAUAUUAAUCUACAAUCAAUAUUUAAAUCCUGCCUAACGUAAAAUCCCAUUAAACAGGCCAAUUUCUUCUAUCAACCACAAGUUCAACCCAAAUUUACUUCAACAUAGAACAUCCUGUAAUAAUGGAUUUAAAAGAAACCUUGGAAGGAAGAAAAGUAGCUGGUGAAGACAUCCCAAAAGCAGUUUCAUACAUACAAAUAGGAGGACAAGACAUACCAACUGAUAUAAAAGAUAUGACAAUUGUCGAAAUACUUGACGCCAAGCUUGAGGGCAAUCUCAAAGUAAGUAAAUUUCAGAUUUAAUUGAUUUUAUAAUAAUCUGAAAAUCAUGACCUCACUUUCGUCUGCUAUUUACAGGAUGUAUUAUGCCUAACCAAAGCGACAAUAACAGAAAUAAUACCAAAUUUUGGUUGGUAUUACAUAGCUUGCAACAACUGCUUCAAGAAGAUGAAAGGGACAAUUGAAAAAAAAUAUUGUGCUCAGUGUCCAAACCAACCAACAAAAACCACCUAUGCAUACAUGGUCACUGUGAAGGUCAGAGAUUCUACAGGAUCUACCACAUUUGUACUGUUUGACAAGCAGGCCAAAAUCCUUACUGGUGUUCCGGUUCAACACAUUCUUAACACUGACGAGGCAAGUUUCUAAUUAAUAAAAUAGUGUGAUACAAAAAACAAAUUCUUCAACACUAACUUUCAAUUUAUUGUUUCAUUUACAGGAAGCAUCACCUUUCCAAAUCCCAAUCGCUGUAAAUAAUAUUAUUGGCAAAGAAUGCAUCUUUCAGUUGAAGUUGACAGCUCGAAACAUUGAUGACGGCCAAUUCACAGUUAUGAAGGUUACUGAGUCGAAGGCUGAGGCAGAAGUCGACCCAAAUACAUCCGACCACGAAAGAAAAUCUCAUCCGCCAUCCAUCACAACAAAACAUACCAAAAAACGCAAUGCAGGGACUGUUGACGAAGUGACAAAGAACACUGCAGGAACCAGCCACCACAAAAAUAAGUCUAUCAAACUUAGUGAUGAAAAUACCUGCAGCAAGAAUGAAACUGGCACUGUUUCAGAAGAAUAACCACAACCAUCCUAAGAUCUCCUCUAUAUGAUAGUCGAAAUAGGAAUAAUUUUUGGAAGAUGCUUGACUUUAUUCAAUAACUCAAAGAAAGAUUCACUUAUUUUUGUUUAAGGCACUUCAAUGAAACUGUUAUUUGGCAUUAAUUUAAGCAGAAAUCAAAGAUAUUCUUAGUCUCACUUGAUUGUCUUAAUUGAAUGAUAAAGUCUAUGGAUUUAAAUAAACCACUGUUUUAAACAUCUUCAUAUUUUGCCCCAUCCAUUUCGAGGACUAAAGCUUUUAUUUUUUAUUUUUAUAUAAUAUUAAACACAUUUCAUGAAUUUAUAAUAUCUAUAUAUUAAGUGACUAGCAAUAUAUAAUCAAUUAUAUUAGUUAAACCGUUCUUUUACUAGAAAAAGACACAAGACUUGAGAAUAGCUCUAAAUGCCAUAAAACAAAUGUUAAUAAUAAUAUUAUUACAAGCGAAUUUUUACAUGUGUUUAUUCCUAAUAAUAAUCUCCUAAUUUAAUUUUUGUUUCUUUAGCUACUUUCCAUACGCAAAAAAAAACUAUUUUUAACAACACUAUACAAUAUAAUCCAUAUAACAAAAAUUAUUCGUACAACUUACAUACAAUUAGUUUUUUUUAGUGAAACAAUAUCCGUAUGAAUGUUACUUCCUCUUUAUAAUUUACACAUUGUACACAAUAUUAUAUAUACAUCCCAACAUUAAUUUAUGAGCUAUUGAAAUAAUUAUGUUAUCCUUACAAUAAAGUUAAAUUGUGUAUUACUAUGUUAACAAAAAAUAAUAUUCCAAGUUCAAACAAAAUAUUAAAACUUCAUCCUCCACUUUAGAUUCAAGUCUUUUCCAACAAGUAUUAGAAUUCUAAUACAUAUAUUAUCCUAUCCUUAAUCAAAUAUGAUUUCUUAUCCGACAAGUAUUAGAAAUUCCAAUACAUGUAUUAACCUAUCCCGAUCAAAUAUGAUAUACCUACAUAUAUUGACAACCACGUGUCCAAACCCUUCUCCUAAUGUAAUUAGUAAUAGCACCUCUAAAUUCGGGCAAACUGCCUAGCUUAAUGCAAAAAACUUUUAUCACACACAUAUAUAUAUAUAGAUAAACAACACACCUUUUUAACUCAAAUACUCAACUACCUCUCUCCGGUAAAAGGUAAGCUUCUGCUUCAAUAUUAUAUGUUUAUAUGAUAUAAUUUAUACAUGCAUGAUAAUACAGAUCUCACACAUCUAACAAGAUACAUGAACACAGAUUGUAAUCAAUACUUUAUAAAUUUGACACACCACCACAAUCACAGGUAUCUUGAUCUCUUAAAUAUGUUUAUCCUGACAUACCACUUCCUUACAACAAAAAACAUAUUGUUUAUUUCCCGCAUGGUUAGGACAUAAUAAUAAUUGGCAUAUAUCAUUAUUAACAUGAUCUAUCAGUACAAUAAUAUUCAAUGUUUAUGCAAUAUACUUUCAAUUUUUAAUAAUUAGUGCAAAUUUUCUUAUUUCAGGUUUCAUGAUGGUUAGUCGAUUACCAAUAUUUGCUAUAUUAAUAAUUCUAAAAAGGUUGGCAUCAUCGAGUUUUCAAGACUUCUUUUACUUCUUUAUGACUUGGUCUGCUACACAAUCAAGGAGUACAAUAACAAAUAUGCUGAACUCUUACCCAAUCACUGAAUUGUACACAUGGGGUAACAUACACAACAUGAUUAAUAGAGAUAUGUUCCUCUACUUUAUAGACAUUGCUGGAUCGUUGCAAAAUAAAGAUGCUUUAUUCUACAAAUCAUUCGGAAUUGUUUUACAGAGAAAUACGGGUGCCUACAAUCAAUUUAAUGAUGCUUAUGAAACGCUCCUACUGCUGGCAAACAAUGAUCAUAAUUUAUCAACCUUGGUUGUUAAGGUGUUGGAUAUAUACUACUUUCCCAAGAAAAGAGACGAUGCAAUCGCUGACCUAUCCCAAAUGACCGACACCCCAGGGAAGGAAAAACAGAUUACUCAAAUGAUACAUUUUCUGAAGAUAAUUGUCAAAAAUUUCGGCCAAGUUGAAAUAUUUACAGAGCUAUUUGGACAGCCUAUCUGCCAGCAACAUAAUUCUGCAAAACCUAAAUAUGUCCCGGAUGGAAUGGUGGUUCAACCAUCGUGCAUUAGUCAUUAUGAAUGCCAACAGUGCAAGGCGGCGGUAAUUGUAGCAUGCUUUGCGGGGUUUGGAACAUCGAUAACUAUAUGAUCUACAAAACAUGUAAUUAUUUAUACAUUCCAACUGCACUUUAAUUUUACACAUGUUUGAACUUAGUCGGCUUUAUACUUAUUUUAUAUCAUGCAGACAACAAAGUUCUUUACCAUAGAAUUAUAUAUUACUUUUAACUUUUAAUAACUUGCCUCUUAUAAGACAUAGCCAUAUUCACCAUUCCUCUCAACAAUACAAUAUUUAAAUCUAUUCCAUCAUUUAAGAACUAUUCAAAAUCAAUAAGGUACGAUUUGAGGCAAAGAACAAUUUAAAACUCAGGUCACUUAAUGACAUAUACACAUGAUCACUAACCUUAGAGCAAAUCUCUUUGACCUUCGCAUGUAGGAACUCUUUUCACCCAGCAGAAUAAAAUUAUUAUGCAAUGUCACAAGGUAAAGAUCAGCACCAAUCACACUUCCAGAGGCCUAAUUUGUAUGCAACCAAUCUAUUUUUAGAGGUCAAUUCCAAAAGAUGGCGCAAAGAAAUAUUAAAUUUAAAAUUCACAUAAAUAUAAUACACCCAAACACCGCUUAACACCAGCAUAUAAUAACACAUAGCUUUCAAAACAUGAAAUAAUUAUUUACAAUUUCAUUUACUUUAGGCAAAUCCUACUUUAGAGUUAAAAUACAAAACCUGACAAUUCUAACCAAUAAACAGAUCUCCUAUCUCUUCACACUGCCUUUGCUCCCCAAUUUCAGUAUUUCACUCUUGCCUACAAUGUUAUGUUAUUAUUGUUUAAACUAAACUUACUUUUACAUGAUUAACUUAAUAUGUAAAUUUAAUUCUUAUGGCUUCACUUUUCUUAUUCGAAAAACCAAAUAAAAUAUAUAUCUGGUCAUAUAUACAUGUGGGGAAAACUCAACACACUUCUAUGCACAGGUCAGAAAAUCUAAAACAUCAGCAACAAGAAAAUAUAACAAUCACACACAUGCACCCCUGAAUAUCAAUUGCCUCUAAUAUCAAUUGCCUCUAAUAUCAAUCGCCUCCAAAAACAACACUUUAAUCUGAGCAUUUGUCAAAUUAUAAAACCCAUUUACAUUCUUGAACCUAGACAUAUAUUUUAAUUCAGAAUGAGAAUAUGUCAAUCCCGGUUAAAAAUCACAUCAAGAAAAGUUUAAGCAUUUCAUUUCUCUUAUUCCUAUUCAUGAGAAACAAUAAAGAUAUAUAAAGCAUUAAUCAUUGAAUCCCUACAAUUGGCAACCAAAAUUAAUAGGUAUAGAUUACACGGGAGCAACAAGUAUAACAGCAAGUCAGAUUUGACUAACCCAUUCGUUUGAUUAUGAUUCUGAUCCUUCCGAUAUAGGUGUGAUUCAGAUACUUGGAGAAGGUUCAGACUUGAAAUGUAUGGACUACGGCUUGGUCGGUGUCUCUUCGUGUCUUAA
rnacentral:lncRNA from 1 species